rnacentral:rRNA from 1 species
UGGGGAAUAUUGCACAAUGGGCGCAAGCCUGAUGCAGCCAUGCCGCGUGUAUGAAGAAGGCCUUCGGGUUGUAAAGUACUUUCAGCGGGGAGGAAGGUGUUGUGGUUAAUAACCUCAGCAAUUGACGUUACCCGCAGAAGAAGCACCGGCUAACUCCGUGCCAGCAGCCGCGGUAAUACGGAGGGUGCAAGAGUUAAUCGGAAUUACUGGGCGUAAAGCGCACGCAGGCGGUCUGUCAAGUCGGAUGUGAAAUCCCCGGGCUCAACCUGGGAACUGCAUCCGAAACUGGCAGGCUUGAGUCUUGUAGAGGGGGGUAGAAUUCCAGGUGUAGCGGUGAAAUGCGUAGAGAUCUGGAGGAAUACCGGUGGCGAAGGCGGCCCCCUGGACAAAGACUGACGCUCAGGUGCGAAAGCGUGGGGAGCAAACA